rnacentral:rRNA from 1 species
GUGCCAGCAGCCGCGGUAAUACGGAGGGCGCAAGCGUUACUCGGAAUCACUGGGCGUAAAGAGCGUGUAGGCGGAUAAAUAAGUCAGAAGUGAAAUCCAAUAGCUUAACUAUUGAACUGCUUUUAAAACUGUUUAUCUAGAGUGUGGGAGAGGUAGAUGGAAUUUCUGGUGUAGGGGUAAAAUCCGUAGAGAUCAGAAGGAAUACCGAUUGCGAAGGCGAUUUACUGGAACAUAACUGACGCUGAGACGCGAAAGCGUGGGGAGCAAACAGGAUUAGAAACCCGAGUAGUCC